UAGAGAGAAGGAGGAGAGAGAGGAAGUGGGAGAGGAUGUAGUAGUUUCCCCUGUCUACUUUCUCUACCUUCUUUUCUCCUCUACCCUCCCUUUCCAAGCUCAACUUCCUUGACAGUAUUAAGGAAAUACCUUUUUUAGUUACCAAAAUAAGUUGCUCUGUGGAGAAUUUCUGAUGAUCUCAUGGUGAUUAUCCUGCACCCGGAAGACACUUUGCUUUGCUUUGGGACCAUGGAUAUUCCUUGGGGCAGCCACCAAGGAUGAAUAAGGUUUGAACGGGGAGGCACUGGCCUCGGGGCUCCUUGCUGCUGAC
rnacentral:lncRNA from 1 species